UACAUACAGCUUUUUAGUAUACAGAACCUCAGAGGGUAUUAACCCGCCGGAGUUCUCUUCAGGUAUAAGUUCCCAGGUGUGCACUAAAAAAUCGUAACAAGGUCUCCGUUGGUGGACCAGCGGCAGGAUCAUUACCGAGUUAUUCUACUCCCAAACCCCUGUGAACUUAUACCUUUACUGUUGCUUCGGCGGGUUAACGCCCCGGAAGGCCCGCGAGGGCCGCCGGAACCAGGCGCCCGCCGGGGGACCCAAAGUCUUGUAUCUUUUUUAUAGCAUGUAUGAGUGGAAUCAUAAACAAAUGAAUCAAAACUUUCAACAACGGAUCUCUUGGUUCUGGCAUCGAUGAAGAACGCAGCGAAAUGCGAUAAGUAAUGUGAAUUGCAGAAUUCAGUGAAUCAUUGAAUGUUUGAACGCACAUGGCGCCCGCCAGUAUUAUGGCGGGCAUGCCUGUUCGAGCGUCAUUUCAACCCUCAAGCCCCAGUGGCCUGGUGUUGGGGACCGGCGACCUCGCCCGGGGGAACACCCCCGGCGCGUCCGCCGCCCCCGAAAUGAAUUGGCGGCCCCGUCGCGGCCUCCUCUGCGUAGUAGCACAACCUCGCAGCGGGAGCGCGACGCGGCCACUGCCGUAAAACGCCCAA
rnacentral:rRNA from 1 species